rnacentral:misc_RNA from 1 species
GAUACUUUGCUUGAAGAAAUCUAGCCUUUUGCCUAGAGAAGUUGAAUUUCUCACCCGUGGACAAAACUCGCAAUCGGGUUGUGAAGAAUUUAAUUCAACAUUCUCUCUUGGAGGCUAGGCAAAAUUACGCUAGAAUUUAUUAUAAAGUUAUAUAUAAAAGAAAAUUUUGUAUUAAAUAUAUUUUGAUUUUUAUUAUUUUAAAGCCGGAUUAAAUGAUAGGCAACACCAAUUAGCAGGCAAGCAUCAGCUUCUGAAAUAAUUCUGGUGCUGUUGUCAUAUAUACAACGAAUAUGUUUUAACUGUUGAUCAUAGUGGGGUUCACUAUGAUCAAUAGUCAUAAUACAAUCAUCAAAACAUUAAACAUGUAGUGUUUAUUCUCAAAAUGUGCAUAUGAAUGUAAUCCAACAACAAAUAGAGCCUAAAAUCUUGUUCUCUAACAAGUAAUUAGAAACAACAAAGAAGCACCUGUGAGCCACAACCUAUGAAUGAAAUGGAUAAUGCUCUUACUGCUAUAAAUAUAGCUGAACAUUAAAUCUACGAUCUUGGAUCCGAAGUGGAAAGCGCAGCAUACAUGUCUGAUAUGGCUUUGGCAAAGUAUUCUUUUGCUUGGGGCCUCUUAAUCUUGAAUGUUGGAGUGAGCAGGCCAUUCUCCAGUGUGAAUGGUUCAGGCACCAAGGUUACAGCUUUUGCAAAUUCAAAACCUCUCAGCUGCGCUUCCUUUCCAACUUCAUCCAGGUCAGUAAGAACUGCUGCCCUUGCUCUUGGAUCAUUGCACAAUUGUCCUAAAUCAUCAUACUUGAUCCCCUCCGAUGCAGCCCAAUCUCUCAACACAUCUGGGUCCACUGCAACUACAGCUACUAAACAGGAGUUGAAGCUGUCACCAUGUAUGAAACACUGGGAAACAAAUCUGCAUUUGGUAUAUACGUUCUCAAUCUUCUCAGGUGCUAUAUAUUCACCUUGUGCCAACUUGAAAAUGUUUUUCUUCCUAUCAAUAAUCUUGAGGCGUCCUCCAGGUAACCACAACCCAAUGUCUCCAGUAUGCAGCCAACCAUCUUUAUCAAUUGUAGAUGCAGUUGCCCUGCUAUUAUUCAAAUACUCUUUCAUAACUGCAGGUCCUCGAAUCCAAAGCUCGCCAGUACAGCCAGGAGGCAAGAAACGACCAGUGAUCCAAUCCAUCACUUUAGCUUGCAUAUUAGGAGCUAAAAGU